rnacentral:misc_RNA from 1 species
AGUUUUUAUGUUACUUCUUAUCACUUAAUUUCCUCAACCAAAUCAGAUUCUAUGCAUAAUAUUGAUAAAUUGGACAUUUUUUCUUGUAUUAAUGACGGUCUUAAAUAAUUUUUUUGAGGCUAUUUUAUUUAUGUCGCUCCACUAAUUUGCCGCCCUGGAGCAAAUGCUCCUUUUGCACCCAGGUUAAUCCGGUCCUGCGUGGACGUGGAAGAAUAAAAAGGUUUUCCUUCGAUUUCUCCGACACCGAAACGACAUCACGCACUGUUUAGAUCCUCCGUGAGCAGUGAGCACUUGUCGUUUAAAUAUUUACACGGAAAUCGCGAGGACUACUCGCUGAACAAUUAUGUUUUUAUUUUUAUUUUUUAUUAAAUCAAAGUUACUUUCAGCACGUUCUGAGUUUAUUUCGAACCCUGUUCUCAGCUGUGCACGAUGGGAAUUACAACGUUCGUCGAGCGCGAAGCCUGUGUUGUACAAGGAUGCUCGUCCUUAUUUAUAGUACAAAUAAUAAUAAUAUAUAUAUACGAUAUGCUAUAAUACCUACGGCGAUGGGUUAUUUUUUUUUCAAGCGCUUCUUCGUAGUAUUUAGAUUCAUCUCUUCCCUGAAACGAACCGAUAGAGUUUCUGUGCAGUCGACGCGUGACGCGGCGCGGUCGGUGGAGGAGAAAAACCGAACCACGGUCGUAAGUAGAGAGUUCGAGAUCACGCGGCGUGCGACCGCGCGCAAUGAACGAGAAGCUGGCACGCACGAAGUCAUUACCUGUACUCCGACGACGACGGAUACAGAUGGAUGGGUAUAUCGGCAACGACCGAGAAAAAACGCAUCAAACAUUCAUUAAGCGCACCGUCGUUUUUUCGUGCAGACAAUGUACGACGUGAACAUGCUGUACCGCAGUCUCGAACUUUGCCGACAAAUGCACGGCCGACUCGGGCACCGAUAAGCAUAAAUUCCGUGUCACGUGUAUGGUGCGAAGAAGUAAUCAUGCACAUGUGUACAUAACGAAUGCGGACGAGAGCCGAUACGACACGGCGACGGGAGAGUUUAAGAACGGAAAACGGGCGGUUAAGAACAUAAAGCUCGUUUUUUUAUGGCCGUGGAAGACGUCGCUGCGAUAACGACUACGCGGCAGCUUAAUAUUAUUUUUUAGAGACCGUAAUACGAGUUGUCGGCGCGAGGGAUGAACGGCGAAACGACGCAGUCUUUUGGUUUAUACAAAUUAUCGUAACAUAAUAAUGUGUACAGUAUAACAAUAAUAAUAAUAAUAAUUAUAAUUAUUAUUGUCGUUGUUGUUGUCGUUAUUUGUGUUAUCCAUUCAUUGCUUGUGAUACAUUUAAGUCUGACCGAUCUGUACACGGUUUCGUGUUUUAUAAGUGAAUAAAAAUCAUUAUUUUCUAACAGUA